rnacentral:lncRNA from 1 species
AUGUGCGUGGACGUGGAGAGGAGCAGCCUCCGGCGAGGAGGGGAAGGUGCAGGCGGCGGGGGGCCGGGCUCCUCUCUCCCCCAUGGAAGGUGUUUAAGCGGAUCUCCCGCAGGUUUCGGGGCAGGGGCUCGGCCGCCGGGUGCCGCGGAGGGGGGAGCCGUGCGGACUAACCGGGGCUCGGGGGCCGGAGGCGGCGGCGGCGGCUCCUCGGAGCAGUCCUUCCCCUGCUGCGCGUCUUCUGGGCUCCAGGCGGGCUUCCUUCCCCCUCAUGUAAACCAGCCGGGCGCCGGGCGGGGGGACGCUGCCUCCGGGGGGGGACGGCGACGGCAGAAGGGCAGCGCCACACGCACCCACGGCUCCGGGCGGGCGGGAGGAGCUCCAGCAGCCGGCGAGCCUGGCCGCGACGGGUCCUCGGCUGCCGCUCGCCCCGUCGUGCCGCUUAUUAUGAUUUUUCCUUUAACCCCCUCUACCUCCCCUUUUCUCCUUCCCUUCCCCUCCCUCCCCCCCCCCAGCCGCUUCCUGCCUCGGUGCCGCAGCCGGUGCCGCAGCCGGUGCCUCCCUCCUCCUUUCUCCUCCUCCUCCUUCUCCUGCUGCUGCUGCCGCCGCCGCCGCUCCCCGCCCGGCCGCCGCCGAGCCCGGUCUCCUCAGGAGCGAGCCGCCGCACGAAAUGACAACCAGCUGGAGGAGGCACNNNNNNNNNNNNNNNNNNNNGGCCGCCCCGCCCCGCCCCGCCGGCUUCGCGGCGCCAUUUUGGGUAAGGGCGCUCCCCCCCCCCACACACACACCUCCGCCCACUCCACGGGACGAGCAGCCAUCUUCGGUGUGGGCACGUUGGUCCCGUGGGUGGCGGCGCGGCGGCCAUCUUGGGCUAAGCGAGGUUCCCGUCCCCGAGCGGCCAUCUUUGUGGAGGGCAGGGUGUCCUCCCUGCUGCAGGACUGGCGGCGGAGAGGGCCCGGCCGGGCCGUUCCGAUAUCCGCUGACGCUGUUUCCUCCUCUGUUAUCGUGUCUAAUAUCUAA